rnacentral:rRNA from 1 species
GACGAACGCUGGCGGCGUGCUUAACACAUGCAAGUCGAACGGAACGUCCCUGCUUUUGUGGGGUGCUCGAGUGGCGAACGGGUGAGUAACACGUGAGUACCCUGCAAUUGACUGUGGGAUAAGUUCAGAACACUGGGGCUAAUACCGGCUAGGAGCUCCUGCUGCAUGGUGGGGGUUCGAAAGUUUCGGCGGUUGGGGAUGGACCCGCGUUUUAUCAGCUUGUUGGUAGGGUAGUCGCUUAGCAAGGCGACGAUGCGUAGCUGGUCUGAGAGGAUGAUCAGCCACACUGGGACUGAGACGCGGCCCAGACUCCUACGGGAGGCAGCAGUGGGGAGUAUUGGACAAUGGGCGAAAGCCUGAUCCAGCAAUGCCGCGUGAGUGAUGAAGGCCUUAGGGUUGUAAAGCUCUUUUACCCGGGAUGAUAAUGACAGUACCGGGAGAAUAAGCUCCGGCUAACUCCGUG